rnacentral:SRP_RNA from 1 species
GCUGGGCACGGUGGCUCAUGCCUGUAAUCCUAGCACUUUAGGAGGCUGAGGCGGGUGGAUCACCUGAGGUCAGGAGUUCACGACCAGCCUGGCCAACAUGGUGAAACCCCGCCUCUA